CCCAUUAAUAUUGGUGAAAUGAGAAAGGAUUUCGCUGUGCCGAUUCUUGAAUUCUGCUUUCUUUGCGAGAAGGGAGCUCCAUGGAUUGGACAUAUUCAUGUACAGAGGAGAAAAAGCAUUUUGCAGUACAGAUUGUCGUGACAAACAUAUUAGAAGCGAUGAUCACAAUGAAAAAUGCGGAUCUGAAGCUAGGAAACCUUUUGACUACUCCGAGUCCCCAUGCUCCGGGCCGCUGAUGUUUUUUGCUGGGGUUGCUGCAGCCUGAAACUUAUAAUAUCAGUGUAAGUAAAUAAAAGAGAGGGUAAAGAGAAGGCGAACAGGGUAUCUAAAUAAACACACCCAUAUAUUGGCGGCUUAAUGAAGGCACUAAUACAUUAUAAAUAUAUAUAUAUAUAUUAAUAUGUAGGUUUGAGAUCUCAUGUUGGUCUCUUUGAUCUCAGAUUCUUUAAAAUAUUUAUGUGAGAUAAAAAAGGAUUUUCUUCUCUCCUGCGAUGUGAUUUGAACCAUAGAGGAUCUUGUCAAUAACUUCGACCUUAUAUUACUCAGGAGAAUGUUACAGGAGAUUCGUGCUCGCAACAUUAAUUAUAAGUAGUGGAAUUUUAACCGUUAGAUAUUCAA